rnacentral:rRNA from 1 species
GACGAACGCUGGCGGCGUGCUUAACACAUGCAAGUCGAACGGAAAGGCCCUGCUUUUGUGGGGUGCUCGAGUGGCGAACGGGUGAGUAACACGUGAGUAACCUUCCCUUGACUUUGGGAUAACUUCAGGAAACUGGGGCUAAUACCGGAUAGGAGCUCCUGCUGCAUGGUGGGGGUUGGAAAGUUUCGGCGGUUGGGGAUGGACUCGCGGCUUAUCAGCUUGGUGGUGGGGUAGUGGCUUACCAAGGCUUUGACGGGUAGCCGGCCUGAGAGGGUGACCGGCCACAUUGGGACUGAGAUACGGACCAGACUCCUACGGGAGGCAGCAGUGGGGAAUAUUGCACAAUGGGCGGAAGCCUGAUGAAGCAACGUCGCGUGCGGGAUGAAGGCCUUCGGGUUGUAAACCGCUUUCGCCUGUGACGAAGCGUGAGUGACGGUAAUGGGUAAAGAAGCACCGGCUAACUACGUG